UAGAAGAAUAUUUUUAGCUAUUAGAUUAUAUUACCAUUAACUUAAUCUUAGCCACUCAAUUUUGAUAAAAGAUCAAAACACCCUUUAGUUGCUUUAUAAAAGUCAAUCUUCAAUUAUUGAGCAACCAUUUUCUUCUUCUUCUCCUCUUCCUUAGGCGUCUUCUCCUUGUUCUUCUUCUUUUUGAUUUUCUUCAAUUCUUACUCACUAAACACAUCAAAUACACUCCAUUUUACCUUGAUUAAGUAAUUACUCUUAGACAACGGAGCUUGAGUAGUGAUUUUGGGUGAUUAAUUUCAAGAAAUUUGGAGAUUCUCUACCUAAAUCAAAGGUUGGGGAACCUUCUACUAAGGUGAAAGACAAAGUUAAGGCUUAGAGAGCUUUAAUCUAAGCUUGCUAAAACUUGUUUUAAGAAGAUGUGAAAAUAAAAGAUCUCGAGUUUGAGUCUUCACCACAAAAUUCAUCAUUAAUCUGGUGAAUCUUAUUUAAAGGGAAAUGUUACAUCUUUAUAUUCCACUUCUGAUAAUGCAUCCAUUGAGGACGAGUAUAUGUUAGUCCAUAGAUCAACGCUAUACUAUGGUCCAUUGUGCCUCCUAUGUAUAAAAAAACAAAGGGUCGAUCAUUUCUAAUAGUUGAUCUUGAACAUAUUUCAAUUCAUUAGGUCCUUUCGUGGUAAAAAAAUUGGUGCCAUUUCAAGUGAGUAUUUUUACUUUUGGGCCAAUAUCUUCUAUUCUUGAGCUCCAAAGCCCAAAUUGCAAUUUCAAUAUCAUACUAUCAUUUUUAUGCAUUAAAUAAUAUAAAAUUCCUAUAGUUCUAAAUA